UUGCCUGGGGGGAMAUMAAKWYCUAWYUAMUGGGGGAMAUAGRRUUUAAAMCVYUUUUUWWAMCGGGRAAAAAAAGGUACGCMCGCGCKCCYUUUUUAUUUAUCCGAWAUAAAWAGGAUCGGCWUACUCCYUCCAGCAGCCGCGGWAAUACGGAGAMYCGAGCGUWMCCSGAUUUAUUGGGGUUUAAAGGGAGCGUAGGCGGACGCUUAAGUCAGUUGUGAAAGUUUGCGGCUMACCSGWAAAUUGCAGUUGAUACUGGGUKUYUKAKUACGGUAGAGGCAGGCGGAAUUCGUGGUGUAGCGGUGAAAUGCUUAGAUAUCACGAAGAACUCCGAUUGCGAAGGCAGCCUGCUGGACUGUAACUGACGCUGAUGCUCGAAAGUGUGGGUAUCAAACAGGAUUAGAUACCCUUGGUAGUCCACACAGUAAACGAUGAAUACUCGCUGUUUGCGAUAUACAGUAAGCGGCCAAGCGAAAGCGUUAAGUAUUCCACCUGGGGAGUACGCCGGCAACGGUGAAACUCAAAGGAAUUGACGGGGGCCCGCACAAGCGGAGGAACAUGUGGUUUAAUUCGAUGAUACGCGAGGAACCUUACCCGGGCUUGAAUUGCAACUGAAUGAUGUGGAGACAUGUCAGCCGCAAGGCAGUUGUGAAGGUGCUGCAUGGUUGUCGUCAGCUCGUGCCGUGAGGUGUCGGCUUAAGUGCCAUAACGAGCGCAACCCUUAUCGAUAGUUACCAUCAGGUGAUGCUGGGGACUCUGUCGAGACUGCCGUCGUAAGAUGUGAGGAAGGUGGGGAUGACGUCAAAUCAGCACGGCCCUUACGUCCGGGGCUACACACGUGUUACAAUGGGGGGUACAGAAGGCAGCUACACGGCGACGUGAUGCUAAUCCCGAAAGCCUCUCUCAGUUCGGAUUGGAGUCUGCAACCCGACUCCAUGAAGCUGGAUUCGCUAGUAAUCGCGCAUCAGCCACGGCGCGGUGAAUACGUUCCCGGGCCUUGUACACACCGCCCGUCAAGCCAUGAAAGCCGGGGGUACCUGAAGUGCGUAACCGCAAGGAGCGCCCUAGGGUAAAACUGGUGAUUGGGGCUAAGUCGUAACAAGGUAGCCGUAAGCUUMACAAUCCCGCGCCA
rnacentral:rRNA from 1 species